AUCGACUUACAACGGGAACUAAAGCGAAGAAAAGAAAUGAACUUGGAAUCAAGUGACUGAAGUAACACCACACUAAAAUUGAUCAAAGAAAAGCAAACAGCAACAGAACACUAGCUUUCGAACAACAGCAGCCUCUAAUAUUUCUCAAAUGACUUCCAUCUUAAAACCAAAAUCCAGAAUUGUAAUGAAGAGAUGAACUCUAGAGGUUUUACAAAAAACUCUAAACAGUUAUCGACAAGAAAAUGAAAGAACAACACCCUCAGUGAUUUUUGUGUUGUUCCAGUAUCAGAAAUAAUAGAACAAAUAAAAUUGAAAACAAUCUCUCAAGUUCCUUUCUGAAAAAAUCUCUCAGACUCUAAAAAUUUUUCUCUGAAAAAUAUCUUCCAAAAAAAAAUCUCUAAAUAUCCGUCCAGAGCACCCCUUUUAUGCCUAAACCUAGAAGCUUCCUCAAAAAUUUGAAAAUAUUCCCCUCUAGAAUGAAUUCGGACAGAUGGAGAGAGGGGAUCGAUCCAAAUCAAUCCAUGGUCCCCAUUUUUCGGAAUUCAUUCUCAAAAAGCACAUGGGAGAUGAAAAUCUGACAGAGGAGCAAGGGGGAACGCGUGAGUGAUUUUGAGCUCACUCGCUGGGGAUUUGAGCUCUUGAGAGUGAAUUUGGGUGAGGAAGUAGUAAACAACAGUGUCUUUAAU
rnacentral:lncRNA from 1 species